GAAGGGAAGAGGCGACAAGAAAGACGGAAAGAAGGAAAGAACAGCUCAUGGAUGACUCUCGUUGUUCGCCCCUUGCUUCUCUUCUCUUUCUUUGCAUCGCAGUUCCUUUUUUGUUUUCUGAAUUCGU
rnacentral:ribozyme from 11 species